rnacentral:tRNA from 1 species
GCUUAGCUUAGCGGUAGAGCAGUUGCUUCGUAAGUAAAAGGUCGUGGGUUCAAUCCCCACAGUUG